rnacentral:rRNA from 1 species
AUGGACUCGGCGCAAAAGAAGCUUGGAUCCGCUCGUCCGGCCGCUGUCGUACUGGCCAGCGCUUGGGCGCUCGGCACCGCCUUCGUCCUGCUCUUCUCCUACGUCCUGGAGUACGCAACCACAUGCCCGCUGGCAGGGGCGGAGGCACGUUAUGGACACCGGUGUCACUGCCACCGGGUAAAAUACGUAUUUACCUUAUACAAAGUCCAGAUUUUUGGGCUGGACACCGGUAACUUUUGGACAUGGACACCGCCCAGCCCAGCGACUGACAAACACAAGCGAGCGUCGCCCGUCCUCGGCCCUCCUCCGUCGCGCUGCCAGCCGCCGGUCCGCCCAGUCACCGUUGUUCAAGCAUGUCCGCCCAGUCACCGUUGUUCAAGCAUCGCUAGCCGGCCACCUGUACCCUCAUCCAGUCAUGGAUUGUUGAAAAUUUGA